CAUACAAGAGUGCACACGCUGAAAUGUCUCGCCUUCUUUACUAAUCAUUGAUAUUAUGUUGAUAGUCCUAAAUAUAAAGCUUUAUUACAACUGUCACAUAAACUUAACAUUAACCAAGUAAACUAAACAUUGACCAUUGAACCAUGAAAAUGAGGUCAAGGUCAGAUGAACCAUGCUAGGCAGGCAUGUACAGCUAACAAUUCUUCCAUACAACAAAUAUAGUUGACCUAUUGCUUAUAGUUUAAGAAAAACAGACCAAAACACAAAAACUUAACACUGAGCAAUGAACCUUGAAAAUGAGGUCAAGGUCAAAUAAAACCUGCGUGACUGCCAAAUAGAUCAUAAAAUAUUUCCAUACACCAAAUAUAGUUGAACUAUUGCAUACAGUAUAAGAAAAACAGACCAAAACACAAAAACUUAACUAUAACCACUGAACCAUGAAAAUGAGGUCAAGGUCAGAUGACACCUGCCAGUUGGACAUGUACACCUUACAGUCCUUCCAUACACCAAAUAUACUAGACCUAUUGCUUAUAGUAUCUGAGAUAUGGACUUGACCACCAAAACUUAACCUU